UGGGGAAUUUUGGACAAUGGGCGCAAGCCUGACCCAGCAAUGCCGCGUGCAGGAUGAAGGCCUUCGGGUUGUAAACUGCUUUUGUACAGAACGAAAAGGCUCUGGUUAAUACCUGGGGCUCAUGACGGUACCGUAAGAAUAAGCACCGGCUAACUACGUGCCAGCAGCCGCGGUAAUACGUAGGGUGCAAGCGUUAAUCGGAAUUACUGGGCGUAAAGCGUGCGCAGGCGGUUAUGUAAGACAGAUGUGAAAUCCCCGGGCUCAACCUGGGACCUGCAUUUGUGACUGCAUAGCUAGAGUACGGCAGAGGGGGAUGGAAUUCCGCGUGUAGCAGUGAAAUGCGUAGAUAUGCGGAGGAACACCGAUGGCGAAGGCAAUCCCCUGGGCCUGUACUGACGCUCAUGCACGAAAGCGUGGGGAGCAAACA
rnacentral:rRNA from 1 species